GACGUAGGGCGCGAGCGUUGUCCGGAUUUAUUGGGCGUAAAGAGCUCGUAGGCGGCUUGUUGCGUCAACUGUGAAAACCCGUGGCUCAACCAUGUGGUCUGCAGUCGAUACGGGCAGGCUAGAAUUCGGUAGGGGAGACUGGAAUUCCUGGUGUAGCGGUGAAAUGCGCAGAUAUCAGGAGGAACACCGGUGGCGAAGGCGGGUCUCUGGGCCGAUAUUGACGCUGAGGAACGAAAGCGUGGGGAGCGAACAGG
rnacentral:rRNA from 1 species